rnacentral:rRNA from 1 species
UACGUAGGGGCCGAGCGUUGUCCGGAGUUAUUGGGCGUAAAGCGCGCGCAGGCGGCGGUGCUGGCCCGGCGUGAAAGCCCCCGGCUCAACCGGGGGAGGGUCGUCGGGGACCGCACCGCUUGAGGGCGGUAGGGGCUGGUGGAAUGCCUGGUGUAGUGGUGAAAUGCGUAGAGAUCAGGCGGAACACCCGUGGCGAAGGCGGCCAGCUGGGCCGUCCCUGACGCUGAGGCGCGAAGGCGUGGGGAGGCGAACGGGG